rnacentral:tRNA from 1 species
GGGCGGUUAGCUCAGCGGGAGAGCAUCGGCCUUACAAGCCGGGGGUCGCGCGUUCGAUCCGCGCACCGCCCA